rnacentral:tRNA from 1 species
GUGGCUCAGUGGUAGAGCAUCUGGUUUGCAUGCAGAAGGUCCCAUGAUAAAUCCCUGGCCA